ACAUACUUCUUUAUGUGCCCAUAUGAACAUAUAAAAGCUAUGGAAUGUAAAGAAGUAUGUAU
rnacentral:pre_miRNA from 1 species